GGCGGGCCUGUAAGUCAGGGGUGAAAGUUUGUGGCUCAACCAUAAAAUUGCCUUUGAUACUGCAGGUCUUGAGUCAUGGUGGGGUCGCCGGAACAUGUGGUGUAGCGGUGAAAUGCAUAGAUAUCACAUAGAACACCGAUCGCGAAGGCAGGUGGCCAACCAUGUACUGACGCUGAUGGACGAAAGCGUGGGUAGCGAACGGGAUUAGAUACCCCGGUAGUCCACGCCGUAAACGAUGGAUACUAGCUGUGGGGACUUCGGUCUCCGUGGCCAAGCGAAAGUGAUAAGUAUCCCACCUGGGGAGUACGUUCGCAAGAAUGAAACUCAAAGGAAUUGACGGGGGCCCGCACAAGCGGUGGAGCAUGUGGUUUAAUUCGAUGAUACGCGAGGAACCUUACCAGGGCUUAAAUGCAGGCUGCAUGGGGUAGAGAUACCCCUUUCUUCGGACCGCCUGCAAGGUGCUGCAUGGUUGUCGUCAGCUCGUGCCGUGAGGUGUCAGGUUAAGUCCUAUAACGAGCGCAACCCCUACCGUUAGUUGCCAGCAUGUCAAGAUGGGGACUCUAACGGGACUGCCGGUGCAAACCGUGAGGAAGGUGGGGACGACGUCAAAUCAUCACGGCCCUUACGUCCUGGGCUACACACGUGCUACAAUGGCCGGUACAGAGGGAAGCCACCCCGCAAGGGGGCGCGGAUCUACAAAACCGGUCACAGUUCGGAUCGGGGUCUGCAACUCGACCCCGUGAAGCUGGAAUCGCUAGUAAUCGGAUAUCAGCCAUGAUCCGGUGAAUACGUUCCCGGGCCUUGUACACACCGCCCGUCAAGCCAUGGAAGCCGGGAGUGCCUGAAGUCCGUCACCGCAAGGAGCGGCCUAGGGCAAAAUC
rnacentral:rRNA from 2 species